GGCAUCGCAGGGUAGCUAUGUUCGGAACGGAUAACCGCUGAAAGCAUCUAAGCGGGAAGCCGACCUCAAGAUUAGUUCUCCCAGAUCUUUAUGAUCCUUAAGACUCCUUCUAGACUAGGAGGUUGAUAGGCAGGAAGUGUAAGCAGGGUGACCUGUUCAGCUAACCUGUACUAAUUAGUCGUGAGGCUUUUUUUU
rnacentral:rRNA from 1 species